rnacentral:rRNA from 1 species
AUACGUAGGUGACAAGCGUUAUCCGGAUUUACUGGGCGUAAAGGGCGUGUAGGCGGUCUUGCAAGUCAGAAGUGAAAUUCCUGAGCUCAACUCGGGCGCUGCUUCUGAAACUGCAGGACUUGAGUGCUGGAGGGGAUAGCGGAAUUCCUAGUGGAGCGGUAAAAUGCGCAGAUAUUAGGAAGAACACCGGUGGCGAAGGCGGCUAUCUGGACAGUAACUGACGCUGAGGCGCGAACGCGUGGUGAGCAAACAGGAUUAGAUGCCCUGGUAGUCCACGCCGUAAACGAUGAAUACUAGGUGUAGGGGGUAUCGACUCCCUCUGUGCCGCAGUUAACACAAUAAGUAUUCCGCCUGGGGAGUACGGCCGCAAGGUUGAAACUCAAAUGAAUUGGCGGGG